rnacentral:rRNA from 1 species
AUAACAAGCCAAUAUUCCUCUGGUCUAUUGUGGUGACUCAUAGUAACUGAUCGAAUCGCGAGGCCUGUGGCCGCGAUAAGUCAUUCAAGUUUCUGCCCCAUCAGCUUUCGAUGGUAGUGUAUUGGACUACCAUGGCGUUUACGGGUAACGGAGGAUUAGGGUUCGAUUCCGGAGAGGGAGCCUGAGAAACGGCUACCACAUCUAAGGAUGGCAGCAGGCGCGUAAAUUACCCAAUCCUGA